GACGAACGCUGGCGGCGUGCCUAAUACAUGCAAGUAGAACGCUGAAGGAGGAGCUUGCUUCUCUGGAUGAGUUGCGAACGGGUGAGUAACGCGUAGGUAACCUGCCUGGUAGCGGGGGAUAACUAUUGGAAACGAUAGCUAAUACCGCAUAAUAGUAGAUGUUGCAUGACAUUUGCUUAAAAGGUGCAAUUGCAUCACUACCAGAUGGACCUGCGUUGUAUUAGCUAGUUGGUGGGGUAACGGCUCACCAAGGCGACGAUACAUAGCCGACCUGAGAGGGUGAUCGGCCACACUGGGACUGAGACACGGCCCAGACUCCUACGGGAGGCAGCAGUAGGGAAUCUUCGGCAAUGGUCGGAAGUCUGACCGAGCAACGCCGCGUGAGUGAAGAAGGUUUUCGGAUCGUAAAGCUCUGUUGUAAGAGAAGAACGAGUGUGAGAGUGGAAAGUUCACACUGUGACGGUAUCUUACCAGAAAGGGACGGCUAACUACGUG
rnacentral:rRNA from 1 species